ACGGCUGCGCACUCGGAGGGGGCGGCGGAGACCCUUUCCGCCGACGCCAGUAGGGGGCGCUGCUGCCCAGCCUUGUCUGCUUUCAGCCCUGUGCUCACUGAACGUGGAAGAUGGGACGUCGCGUCUUUCAUAAUAACUACGCCACACCACCUGUCUUGGAAAGAGUUCUUCGUGUCUUGUAGUAAUGUAUUUGGUUGUGAUGGUGGGGCUAGGCUACUACCUGGCACCUAGUAGUUGAGUGCGUCUAGGUGUGUCUACGCAUGUGCCUCUGCGUAGACGUCAUCGGAAAACUUUCAGGAGCUGGUUCUUUCCUUCCAUCUUGUUACGACAAGGUCUCUCUUGUUUCUGCCAUGCUCCUGGCUAGAUGUCCCUCAAGCUUUCAGGCGAUUCUCCUGCCUCCCUUCUCCAAGCAGGAGAGCUGCAUUCACCUUUUUUUUUUUACAUGGCCCCUAGGAAUGGAAGUCAGGCUGUCUGGCUUUUGCAGCAAGCACUUUUGCCCACUUGGCCAUUUUGCCGGUCCAUUUGUUGUUAUUAUUUUUAGAGAGGGUCCCACAUAGCCCAGGUUAGUCUUCAACUGCCUGUGAACUAAGAAUAAACCUUGAACUCAUC